GGUGAGUAACACGUGGAUAACCUACCUAUAAGACUGGGAUAACUUCGGGAAACCGGAGCUAAUACCGGAUAAUAUUUUGAACCGCAUGGUUCAAAAGUGAAAGACGGUCUUGCUGUCACUUAUAGAUGGAUCCGCGCUGCAUUAGCUAGUUGGUAAGGUAACGGCUUACCAAGGCAACGAUGCAUAGCCGGCCUGAGAGGGUGAUCGGCCACACUGGAACUGAGACACGGUCCAG
rnacentral:rRNA from 1 species